AUUAAAUAAGCAAUACCAUAAGUAAUAGUAUAAUUUAAAUAUUUAAUCUUUGGUGUAUAAGUUGAAUAGACUUCCCAACUUGUAUGGAAAUAUUAAAUAUUGCUGAAUAUUUCGCGUUUGUGCUGAAUUGACCUCGUCAACACGAAGCGAGACGAAAAACGAUAACGAUGAGCUCUGAGUCCAAAUAGGAAUUUCAAGAUGGCGUCAGUGAUUUUUGGUGGAAUUUCAGUGUGUGUUUAACUUAGUUUACGCGGUAUUUGUGCUGAUUAAAAUUUAAUAAUUGUGAGAAAUAUCAUAAAUGUGAAGUGGUUAAACGGUAAAAAAAAAACAAAAGAGAAAUAGGAGCAGAUGUGCCUUUACCCUUUUAAUUAGUGAUAAUUCGCCUAAAAUGGCGUAUGCAUGCAAGGAAGCGAAAUAACUUUCUUUUUUCACAAGUUUAUAUUUUUUUGCUGCUGGUCCAGUGCUUGGUUAUCUAAAGAAAAGUCGAACAACGUGUUGUUGAAUGUUAUAACUUGCACUGCUAUAGCAUUUUGUGACAAGUGGCAAGUGGUACAGUCGGAGUUGGGACGCGUUUUACAUUUAUUUUAAUUGCCAGCGUGGGAACAUACGAAUAAUAUAUAUGUACAUAUAUUUUGUCACAAUUAUUUAAACAUUGUUCAAAACGUCACAAAGCACCACAGUUGAAUCUGCUUAUGAAAAAGUGAAAAAGGCGGGUAAAUCAAGAAGAAAACCCAAAAAAUGUGUGCAGCACACAGUAACCCACAACAGGGCUUCGGCUAUACUUGGGGAUUCGCAGAUAAUACCCGUACGGAGUCUGUACUGGAGAUUCCGGCAAAUAUAAAUUACACAGUCAGCAGUGAGUCCAUGCCAUAUUUGCUAUCUACAGACGGCUCUUUGACUGUGCAGAAGGACGUUAAAGGAGGAUUGACGGCUCAGAAAGGAGGUGUUGUACGACGUAUGUUCGUUGUAAAUGAACCAUUUGCACCAGGACCACAACGGGUUAUAACUGCAGGUACUACUACACCAUCGGUGGUGAAGAAACAAGACCAACAAGUGCUCAGUAUUAACUGCGACAAAAAUUACCUACUUGUAGAUCAAUCAGAUCAGUCACACUCUCUGACCAAUGGUAUCGUCGACACGAAGUCACAGACCAUUCUAACGACAACAGCUGGCACUAAAACGCAUUUUAGUCCCAUCGGGCCGAUUCAUCUCACUGCAGAGGAAUGCAACGAGAUUUUAAUGAAACGAGCGCUUGCCGCAUCUCAACAGACUCACACGAUCACUACUGCAGACGGACAUGGGACGACAAGUGACAUUCUGCCGGGUAUAUCGGUGCAAGUUCAAAAAGUGAUCCAAGGUUUAGAAGAGGCGGAUGAUUCACAGGGGGAUACACCCAACUUAAAGUUGGAGCCUGGUACAUUAGAGCUAUCUCCUAAAACAGAGUUGCAAGAUAACAUGAAUUAUAACGAGAAUGACGCCACAGUUAAAAAGGAACGACCAUACAGUUGCGAUGAAUGCGGUAAAUCGUUUUUAUUGAAACAUCAUUUAACAACACACGCGCGAGUCCAUACAGGUGAACGGCCGCAUGUGUGUAUACAUUGUAGCAAGAGCUUUGCUCAUAAGCACUGCCUCAAUACACAUCUGCUGUUGCAUUCAACUGAUCGGCCCUUUCAAUGUACCGAAUGCAAGAAAAGUUUUACUUUGAAGCACCACCUGUUGACACAUUCACGUGUUCAUAGUCGUGAUCGGCCAUUUGUGUGCCCCGAAUGUGGGCGAACGUUCCCAUUGAAGCGACAUUUAGUGACCCAUAGUAAAUUUCAUGCUGGUGAACGGCCUUACGUUUGUGAGGAAUGUGGCGAAAGUUUUGCUCAGGAGAAUCACUUAAUAAUGCAUUCACGUUUUCAUGGAUCGCUGAAUCCAUUUGUUUGUCCAGAUUGCGGAGCUACAUUUCCGCGCAAAUUUCAACUGGUGAAUCAUGGUCGCAUACACGGUAAAGUACCACACUCCUGCACCCUGUGUGGCAAAGAGUUCUUACAGAAGCGUACGCUGGUUUCUCACAUGAGGAUUCACACCGGCGAUCAGCCAUAUCCUUGCAUUAGUUGUGGAGAGGGCUUUAUGUCUAAAGCUGAAUUAAAUCAGCAUGUGCGUAAUACACACGGAGGCGUAAAUCCAAACUCCUCAAACACUGCGAUACAUUCUACGCAGCAACAUCAUACGCAACAACAGACGCAAGGGUCACAUCCACAAACCAUUACUGUAGUCAGUAAUCCAGCGAACCCGGCAUUAUUAUCUGUGGGCGGUGACAAUAAUGCUGCCCGGCCCCAAUUUGGCUGUCGUGAAUGUGGAAGUGCCUUUAAUAGUAGAGAAGCGUUAGCGCUUCAUUUGCGAUUACAUACAGGUGACAAAAGCCUUAUGACUGAUCUGUGCGCUUUAACUGCGGCACUGCCUGGUCACUUCCUCAACACCGGCCUUAAUCCAGGCGCUACAGUAGUUGCUACCAACCCAAAUAUAGUGGCCCAGAAUACAGUGCCCGUGCAGAUCAUUUCAUCAACCGGACAAGUCAUGACACAAACAACAUUAGUACAGGCUGCCGCAGCAACGCAUCCACAGGGUGUUGUUACUAAUGUGCCUGGGGUGAUGCAUCAUCAACAGCCACAACAGCAACUAACGAAUACGGCGCCACAACAGCAUCAUCCACAGCAACAGCAGGUAACGCCACCCAAACCAAAGUCACAUUUUUGCGCCAGCUGCGGUAAAGGAUUUGCCGCUAAGCAUGGUCUUAUGCAACAUAAUCGAAGACAUCCUAACGGUGGCUGCACCGUGCGCACACAUGUAUGCGAAUGCGGCAAGGCAUUCUUUCAGAAGAAUCAUUUGAUGCUACAUCAGCGACAGCAUUUGGAAACCAAACCGUCAGCUGCUGUCGCUCAACAGCAACAACAACAGCAGCAGCAGCAGCAACAACAACAACAACAACAACAGGUGCGUUGAUUGCAUUGCUAAGCAAAAGAUAAACAAAAUAUAAUAAAUACAAAAAAGCUGCACAACGCUGUGUAGUCCGCAAAAGAGUAAACCUGCAAAAUACGCAAGCCGGCUUUGCAACGCUUCCAUUAUACUUUUUACACGAGCUCGGUAACGUCACGCUGAGACAAAUAACCAACGCUUAACAUCAAGCCAGAAUCCUCAUAUCAAACAUCCACGAAAUAAAACUGCAUACGCAAAAUACUAACAUAAUGGUAAGGAAAUAAGUAAAUAAACUUAAAAAUACCUCUAUAUUUAUAAAGAGCACAUUUUAAAAGUUGAAUACAAUAACUAGACAAACUGAAGGCAGGCGAAACUUUUUGCUAACCUCAAAAAAAUUUAAAAUGAUCUUAACUAAACAAGAACUCGCUAAAAAAAAACUUGAAGAUUUAUACACAAUUUUAAAAGUAAUUUGAGAGAAAAUUAUUGAGAGCAACUGACUAUUGUAAGAUUUAAAAGAUUGUUUUCUUAGAUUAUUUGUAAAUUAUUACGCCUUAAAGUGAGCUUGAAAAAUAAUUAACAUAUCCUGGAGCAAUGUUCUGUAUAGUUUGCUCUACUUGCUUCACUUUAUGUUAAUACCUGAUCAAAAAUGAUUUACGGGUUGCUCGUUGAAUUAUUAAUGUAAAAUAUUUUAAAUAUUCAUGCAUACACACACAUUCUCUUUUUAGUACAAUAUCUACAGGUUUUUAAAACAAGUAGAUGCAUAAUACUAAGAGAGAUUAUGAAACCAAUACAAAAUAUAUUGUCAGCAUCUAACAAAAACAUGAUAUUAGGCAAAGAAAGGUGCACCUAUAUCACACAAAUUGCCAAUAAAACUGUUAAUAGAGAUAUUAAAUACAAUUUUUUACAUAACCUAUAAAGAUUUUAAGUCAAGUUAUGCUGUAUUGUAAAAUGUUUUGAUUAUUUGCUUUACAAAAGUUUUUACGAUAACUGUAAGUUGUAAGUACCACAGAAAGUAAGGAGUAUUUCAUUCGAUAAAUGUUUGGAUGCACGACUAUGUUAACUCUUUCCGGCGUACUAUAUGAAAUCGUUAAAACUCAAACAUAAAUUUUAUUUCAUUACAUUCGUUUCAGCUAUUUAUUUAAGAAAAAUGCAAAAAAAAAAAUUAUAUGUACUUGCUGGAUUUUGUACAAGGACGUCGUAAAAUUUUUAUACCACCGCACAUUAUGUGUGAAGUGAAGUUCUAACGACUGCAACAUCAAGGAAGUGAAAAAAUAUUCUGUGCCAUCAUUUGCGACUUUUUCUAUUCAGUUCGUAGUAUUUCAUUAGUUGAUCCAACUUGUCAACGUCAUUCAUGUGCAUAUUAUAAUCGUGUAUAAUUUCCAGCUUAUCGAUAUAUUUAGUGAACCAUCCCAUUGACGUUGAUUCAUCUUGAUAAUUUUAUUCAGAUCAUGGAAGUUAGAUAAAGCUGUAAUCGCCCUUUUGUCUUAAAUUGCAAAGAAUUUUAUUUUGUAAUUUGCAGUAUACCUAGCUUCAUUGGAAACAUUUGAUACAUGGCGGGAAACACUGUUGAUGAUUCACUAUUGUACCAUUUUCGAGUUAAAAAACAUAUAGAUUUAUCUCUUUCGCACCGUGAUAUAAUUUUUUUUUUAGAAAAUUUGUAAAAUAUAAAAGUGUGUAUGAAUAAUACCAGCGCACACAACAUGAAGGAAAAUUUUCCAAAUAAGUGGUAGUUUUCAUACCACCGCGCCGGAAAGAGUUAAUCGUUAUUUAUUUGUGAUUUAACACACGAACAGCACAGCCGCUCGCGCAAACAACAACAACCACAAUCGGCUAUGUUGAUAGGCAAUCAUCAAGCGCUGCACCUGCAAGUUCUGCAAGGCACCAAUGCAUCUCAAGUUAUUAAGUACGAAAUAAAUAUACCACAGGAUAAUCAAAGUGGAUAAGCGAGUUGUUAGUGUAGAAAUGGUUAAUGGUUGAUUCAUUUUAUAAUAUCACUAACCCAAAGGACAGAUUUCAACAUUCAUGGCGGCUGGGAGGAUGUGGGUUCAAAUUGUACGGUACACAGUACGGUAUUUGUUUUCAUUCGUUUAAGUUUAUUACGUUUUUAGUAUUUAAGCUUUAUUGUGUGCACACAUUUCGCAAUGACAGUAAAAAUUACUAAUUGUUUCUAUUUGUGUAUAUAUUUGUUCAAUUUAACUUAACUAUCUUUAUCAAUUAUAAUUUUAAGCCCUCAACCAGACAAGCAAACGUAAUUAAUAAAUUCCUGUUACUAAGCUAA